rnacentral:lncRNA from 1 species
UAUUUUGUUAUUUACAAAAGAUGAAAAUAAAACCGCUAUAUAUAAAUGGAGCUAGUUUUUUAUUUUAUUUUAGAAUACAUACAAUGCAUGAUGGCUAGGUGUUGAUAUUUUUGCAGUAAUACGUUGCAAAAAGUCAGCUCAAUAAUACUAUUUUUUAUAGAAAAAGCCAGCACUAGAAAAGUUCAUGUGCGUCAAAUUAGCAAUCAUUU